AUGCUUACUCUUCACACCGUUCGGACAUCCCUUCCCUGGCCGCGCAGAUCCUCCCCGCGCCGACAUGCACUGCAUCUAAGCAGGAGGAAAUUUUCCAUCUGUAAGAGCAGCUCCGAAGAUGCUGGAUCCGACGCUCCCCUGCCGCACGGCGGUGACCAACGCCAGCAGGAGGUGCUUGCAAAAAUCGCCAUGCUUCAGACGCAGAAGGUCCGCAUCACAAACUUCCUGGAUGAGCGGUCUGCUUACCUGACCAAGUUCACCAAGGAUGCCGACACCGAGUUUGAUAUGAUUGGGCAGAACGCCAUGAAAGAGCUCGAUCAAAUUGGGGACCAGAUAAUGGAGCGACUCGACAGCAAGAUGCAGUCCUACGAGGAGACAGCUGAAAUGCAAAGGCAGGAGAUAGAAAUGAACGAGAGGGUGUUAGAAGACUUCGAAGAUUGGAUUGAAGAGGAGAAAAACGAAGGCAUGUUCUUCAAAAGCCUUGGGAAGGUCAAAAAACCUCAAAACAAUGAGGAAAUCAAGGUGAUGGCUAGGAUCGAAGCACAGAAGGUCACAGAGAUAACAAAGGAGAAUGCAGGGUCAAAAGCUCGGAUGAAUAUUUACCUUGCACUGAUGGCGAUACUCAGUCUUACAAUCGCAAAUGCCGUCUUUGCAACGCCAGAGGUGGAAUGGAGGAAGGUUGCUGCUCUGGGUUUAAUUUUCAUUGGCCUGGUUGCUCAGGUCAUCUAUGAGCAAGAUAUAUCCCCACCGGCAGCUGACAAGAAUGAAAAAAGAGAAGAAUGA
rnacentral:rRNA from 1 species